GACGUAGGGCGCGAGCGUUGUCCGGAUUUAUUGGGCGUAAAGAGCUCGUAGGCGGUCUGUUGCGUCCGCUGUGAAAACUCGGGGCUUAACCCCGAGCCUGCAGUGGAUACGGGCAGACUAGAGGUAGGUAGGGGAGAAUGGAAUUCCCGGUGUAGCGGUGAAAUGCGCAGAUAUCGGGAGGAACACCGGUGGCGAAGGCGGCUCGCUGGGACGUUACUGACGCUGAGACGCGAAAGCGUGGGGAGCGAACAGG
rnacentral:rRNA from 1 species